rnacentral:rRNA from 1 species
UACGUAGGGUGCGAGCGUUAAUCGGAAUUACUGGGCGUAAAGUGUGCGCAGGCGGCAAGGCAAGUCGAGUGUGAAAGCCCCGGGCUUAACUUGGGAAUUGCCUUUAAAACUGCAUCGCUAGAAUUGUGGAGAGGUAAGUGGAAUUCCGAGUGUAGAGGUGAAAUUCGUAGAUAUUCGGAAGAACACCAGUGGCGAAGGCGACUUACUGGACACAUAUUGACGCUGAGGUGCGAAAGCGUGGGGAGCAAACAGG